UGUAUAUAAGCCUUGUGUAACUUUUGUGGCAUUAAGAGCAAAAAAUGUGCAGACGUCUACUGGCAGCGUUCAGCGUUUUAGCAUUGGCAUUGCUGGCUCGAGAGAGUCACGCAAGGGCCUGCAAUCGGCGGAGUACCGUCAUUCAGAUCAAGAUCCCCAACCGGACCAACGUCAGCGUAAACUAUCCCAACCAGGACCAGCCGGUCACCUUCCUCCCCUUCCCUUAUGCCACAGCCGGCAACGCACCCACCUACUACACUUGCCAAAAUGGCGCCUGUCAGACAAGUGGCCGACCAGCAUCAAUGUCAAAUAAACCCCAAUCUCCACCAGCAUUGAGGACGAACAUUAUAAUAGAAAUAAACGGGAAGAAGCCCAACGGUAGAAGCAGUAGCAACGCUACCGAUCCUAACUCUGAGCUGAUUGUGAUCCAAAGUAAUUCGACAGCGACCAGUGAUAGUACUGCCGUCGCUAACGGCAACGGCAUUGCCGCCUCCACAUCAUCCGCGACGUCAACUACUAAUACAGAUGUCAUCGCAGCAAUUGACGACCCAUCUGGCAACGGCCCCCCAACUAACACCAUACUGAUCGACUCCGAUUCUGAGAGUACAUCAAAAUCUACUGCGAAAGCUAGUGCUGGCCCAUCAGCCAAUAAACCUAGUGCUUCCCAAAAACCAUCCCCAACCCAACCGAAACCAACCCCAACUCCUAAGAAACCAGAAAAGCCAGCCUCGGUACCAGUGAAUCCAGCGCCGGCACCAGAGAAACCAGCACCGACACCAAAUAAACCAAUUCCGGUACCAGUAAAACCAGCUCCAAAACCAGAGAAACCAGCGCCGGCACCAGAGCCAGCACCAGAAAAAUCAGCUCCCGCGCCAGAGAAACUAGCACCCGCUCCAGAGAAACCAGCACAGAAACCAGAGAAACCAGCUCCUGUAGCAGGAAAUCCAACUCCGAAACCAGAAAAUACAGCUCCCGUAGCAGAGCAAUCAGUACCCGCUCCAGAGAAACCAGCUCAGAAAUCAGAAAAACCAGCUCCUGUAGCAGAGAAUCCAGUUCCGAAACCAGAAAAAACAGCUCCCGUAGCAGAGCAACCAGUACCCCCUCCAGAGCAACCAGUACCCCCUCCAGAGCAACCAGUACCCCCUCCAAAGAAACCAGUAUCCGCUCUAGAUAAUCCUACUCCAACAGCAGAAAAGCCUACUCAAGAUGAGAUUUUUCGCUCCCCCGAUAAAUCUAAUCCAGCACCUGAGAAACCAUCUCCUACACAACCAAGAGACUCUGAAACAAAAAGUUCAGCUCCAGAGAAUAAUGGAAAUGAUGAGCCAAAGAACGAUAAGAAGGAGGAUCCCCGUCCUAAUACUCCUGAGAAUGUAACAGCUAUAGCCCAAGCUAACUCUGAUGACUCAGAUCAGCGCGGAGAAGGGGGAUCAGCUAACGCGCAAGCGGUAGCAAUUAGUAGUUAAAGACCAAGGACAUAUACACACGGGGUAAUUUACUAAGGGUAUUUGAGUCAGUUACUAUGCAACGUGACGAGGUAAUAAUCAUUGUUCAAAAUUAAAUAGGCAUCCCAACACUUUGGUAAGACUGUCAAGUCAAUGUGUUUCUUGUACAGAAAAUCAAAUUCACUUGAAUGAUUAAUAAUCUCCCUCAGUCUCCCAUUUAAAAAUACGUACGUCGCAUCGCAUCGCCUAGUCACGUCGCAAUGUUAACUGACAUCAGUUACUUAUAUGGGCGAUAUGGAUGUUUCUUUGUUGAUUUUUGUAAACGUAAUGGUUCAACGGUAAAAGUUUAAAAUAUUUA